CUCAAAUGCUGUCCUAAAGAUACUUCACAGCAAGCAGGGGAGAUGCCAAAGACAAAGAAUCCUUCACCGGUAACUUCUACCCAACCUGUGAGACACUUGCUUCAUGAAAUAACCCCAGGCUCUACCUCUCCGGCUAAUCCCACAGGCGGCUUCAGAAGUUUCAGCAUUCUGCACAUCCACACUACAUAGCAUUGAUCUAGAGAAGAACACAACCACGACCCAAACAUCUAAAUCUGUUUGAUGAAGACAAACAGAGCAAAUGGUUCUAUACAAAGCAAGCUGAAUGCUUUGGCUUGACAAGAUGCCUUUUUCUGGGAUGGCAAAAGAAAUGCUCUAGAGAUCUUGCCACAAAUCUCUAGAUAUUACCAUACAAUGCUGAUCAGUUUGCAUUGGCUCCCACCUCCACAGGCAACUCAGUUCCCUUGCAAACCUCCCUUUCUCUUGGUCUUAUUCCGUCCAUCUGCAAAGUGAAGAUGGGUUAGGUUAUCUCUAAGAUAUCACUCCAGCCCUUAAAUUCCAAAGUUUCAGGAUUCUUUGUUCUGUCUUCUACCUGAGCUCUUGAAAAGGCAAUGGGUGGCACUGGAAA